GCCGGGAUAGCUCAGUCGGUAGAGCAGAGGACUGAAAAUCCUCGUGUCACCAGUU
rnacentral:tRNA from 1 species